UAUUUGUUUCCUUUAAUUUUUUUCGAACACCACACUACUAAACAAUAAUGAUAUCUUUCUUUUGUAAAAGAACAUGUUUUUUUCUUCCUUAUAAAAUAAAAAUCUCUUCUUUUCACUUAAUUUUCUAUCCUUUAUCUUUCCUCCAUCAACCAAACCAAAAAAAAAGAAAGGUAUGAACCAAGUUAUCCCGAUUUAUUUUCCAGACUUCUUUUUAAUGACAAAUGUUAGUGGUUAAUUGUAAGAUCAAUAUUCUCUCCUUUGUGUGAGUUAGAACCCAGAACCUCUAACCCCUUAUACCUUAACCCAAAUCACUUAAGUUGCCCAAGCUCUCUCUCUAAGACUAAAAUUUGCAUUUAUUUUUCUCAAGUACUAGUUACGAUUUUUCUCAUAGAUUAAAACGGGUCUUAACUCUAAAAUAAAUAUAUUAUUAAGUGCAAUAGAAAAUGGAAAGAUGAGCAUAUUAGUGUUUGUUUUGACGCUAGUAUGUAUGGAGUCUGCACCAUCAUUUAGUCAUAAUUAAUCCUCGUUAGAGAAUCUAUAAGGAACACUAGGUGAAAUCUUCCCUUUUAUCCGAAUUUUCAUUGAAGUCAAGGAUCAAAUCCUAAUUAUUGCUUAAGGAACCUAAAUCCCUUACCACUUAAAUCAAUAUAUUAAUUGUUGCGAUUAUAUAUUGUAAAAUCUUAUUUAGAUGGUAAAUGAUCAUUAGACAAUUUUAAAGAACUCCAAUGUAGUGAGAUAUUGAACAAAAGUAACAUAUGGCAAAUGCAACGAGUUCUCACUACAUUAUGGGAAUCUAGUUUGUCAUUAUCAGUUUCAAAAAUCUCACUCCAAUCUAGUUUGUUCAAUAGAACGAACUAUUCUUCCUCGCUUCUUCCAAAGAUUUCUUAACCUCACUUCCCUCCACGUCACUGGCCUAUGCGGAGACACUCACGUCCAAGCGCUUUUUACCCACCCCUCCACUUCCUCUGCAGACAUCACCUUGGAAUGUAGCGCAUACCAGCAGACACAGAAUGGUGGUACUGGUAGUAGGAUUGGAACUAUUUACAUUUUCUUUUUAGGCUAUGGAUAAUUAUGAAUUAAUGAUGAUGAUAUAGUUGGAGUUUUAUUUUAUUCUCAUUUUGGUUUCACGUGCAAACACAUGAUGUAUUGAGUUAGAUAUUAUUUAUCCAACUUUGAGUUUUUUUCCCUUUUAUUUGCCGCAUUAUUUUGUUCAACCCAUAGAAUGUUAUUACUGGGACUGAAUUAUGUCAUUGUUUCAAAUUAUUAUGUGUUGGUGGCCGUGGUUGGUGUCAGUAUUUGUGUCCAUGCUUCACAGGUUAUAGAUGAAUGCAUGGAGGAGACAUAUACCUUAGAUGAUGACGAAACUGCAUAUAGUUUUAUAGGUUUGUUUAUAGUUUCACUAAAUUAUUAUUAUGCAAGUCAUGUUCAUCCUUUUGUCAACUCCUUCUGUUGGAGUUGUUGUGGAAAUGAAAUUAAUUUUAUCUAUUUGGUGGUUCAUUCCUACAAUUGCUAGUUGAGUUGACAGAAUGACAAAAAUGAAUGAUGUUUUUUAUUUGGAGUAUUUUUUGAUUGAUAAUUGGCCUUUCAUGGGAGAGUAAAAUAACUUAGAUUUAUACUUGAAUAUUGAGAAAGCUACAUGUUUAAGAGAUGUAAGGGUUUCAUUUGUAAGCUUAAACAUGAAAGUUCUAUGAGUCCUGAAACAACUUCUGUCAACAUUAAGAACAUGAUUUUUCAUACUAAGUUUGGUUAAUGAUUCUUAGAAUUUUGUUUGAAUUUUACUGUGGUCAUACUAUGGAAACUUGUUUUAAGAAGCACGAUUUCACUCUUCGAUCUAAGCCAAAGGGAAAAUAUUUUAGCUGCGAAGAUUGUGGUAAGAAAAUGGAUAGUGGCAAUCAUUCUGAAAAAGAGAUACCAGUUGCAGGGAAGGGAAAAGAAGAAAGAGCUGAACGUGCCUCACUAGUAAUGAAUGCAGGAUCAUGAUAUACCUGCUGCAGAAAACGGAUUUGCACCAAUUCGAUGUUGAUUUGCAGGGCACACAUCAGAUCAAUCAAGCUAGUGUUAGAAGGACUGGUUCUUUAAAGCAAAUUGAAGGCACUUUUCCAAGCAGGCAGAAAUUUGGUGAAAGAACCCUUGUUCAUGGCUCUGGACAGAGAUAGCUCAGUUUGUUAAAAGGAAUACGUCAAUUGACUUUAUGAGUUUGAAAGUAACAAUGCUUUGCUGUCUUUUUGGUAUUUUACUGUGCAAAUUGCCCUUCAAAUUUUUGCUGUCUACUGAGGGUUGCAGACCCCUUGCCAUGGAGACCCUUUGCAAUUGGUGGCUACAAGGGCAUCAACCAGGUGCUUUUUGCAUAGGCAAAACAUAUUUGGUUCCACUAACUUCAAGUUUUGAAGGUUAAAAUUUGGUUACAUUUUAAUCAAACUUUGUGACUACUACAUUGAAUAAAAGUGAAAAAGAGUUCAUAAGCAUAGCACCAGAAUCUCAUUGGGAUAGCUAUAAUUGUUUGUAUUCCACUUUUGUUUAUUUGCUUUUGAGGGUUUUGGUUUGGUUCCCCCUUCUUGUAUAUGUUUUCCCUCUUUUUUAAUAUUUUUUUCUAAGGCGGAAUAUGAUAGGGGUCUCUUCGGGGUGCCAAGUGCCAACCUAUUUGGGAUGUCGAAGGUUCCUUUUGAUGCCUGUCCUACCUCCUAGCCUAUUUAAAUUUACAUUCAAUUACUAUAUUUCCUAAAUUAUUACUCGGGUUUACGUGUCAA